AAAUUGAAGAGUUUGAUCAUGGCUCAGAUUGAACGCUGGCGGCAGGCCUAACACAUGCAAGUCGAACGGUAACAGGAAACAGCUUGCUGUUUCGCUGACGAGUGGCGGACGGGUGAGUAAUGUCUGGGAAACUGCCUGAUGGAGGGGGAUAACUACUGGAAACGGUAGCUAAUACCGCAUAACGUCGCAAGACCAAAGAGGGGGACCUUCGGGCCUCUUGCCAUCGGAUGUGCCCAGAUGGGAUUAGCUAGUAGGUGGGGUAACGGCUCACCUAGGCGACGAUCCCUAGCUGGUCUGAGAGGAUGACCAGCCACACUGGAA
rnacentral:rRNA from 2 species